UCUGAUGUUAGCGGCGGACGGGUGAGUAACACGUGGAUAACCUACCUAUAAGACUGGGAUAACUUCGGGAAACCGGAGCUAAUACCGGAUAAUAUUUUGAACCGCAUGGUUCAAAAGUGAAAGACGGUCUUGCUGUCACUUAUAGAUGGAUCCGCGCUGCAUUAGCUAGUUGGUAAGGUAACGGCUUACCAAGGCAACGAUGCAUAGCCGACCUGAGAGGGUGAUCGGCCACACUGGAACUGAGACACGGUCCAGACUCCUACGGGAGGCAGCAGUAGGGAAUCUUCCGCAAUGGGCGAAAGCCUGACGGAGCAACGCCGCGUGAGUGAUGAAGGUCUUCGGAUCGUAAAACUCUGUUAUUAGGGAAGAACAUAUGUGUAAGUAACUGUGCACAUCUUGACGGUACCUAAUCAGAAAGCCACGGCUAACUACGUGCCAGCAGCCGCGGUAAUACGUAGGUGGCAAGCGUUAUCCGGAAUUAUUGGGCGUAAAGCGCGCGUAGGCGGUUUUUUAAGUCUGAUGUGAAAGCCCACGGCUCAACCGUGGAGGGUCAUUGGAAACUGGAAAACUUGAGUGCAGAAGAGGAAAGUGGAAUUCCAUGUGUAGCGGUGAAAUGCGCAGAGAUAUGGAGGAACACCAGUGGCGAAGGCGACUUUCUGGUCUGUAACUGACGCUGAUGUGCGAAAGCGUGGGGAUCAAACAGGAUUAGAUACCCUGGUAGUCCACGCCGUAAACGAUGAGUGCUAAGUGUUAGGGGGUUUCCGCCCCUUAGUGCUGCAGCUAACGCAUUAAGCACUCCGCCUGGGGAGUACGACCGCAAGGUUGAAACUCAAAGGAAUUGACGGGGACCCGCACAAGCGGUGGAGCAUGUGGUUUAAUUCGAAGCAACGCGAAGAACCUUACCAAAUCUUGACAUCCUUUGACAACUCUAGAGAUAGAGCCUUCCCCUUCGGGGGACAAAGUGACAGGUGGUGCAUGGUUGUCGUCAGCUCGUGUCGUGAGAUGUUGGGUUAAGUCCCGCAACGAGCGCAACCCUUAAGCUUAGUUGCCAUCAUUAAGUUGGGCACUCUAAGUUGACUGCCGGUGACAAACCGGAGGAAGGUGGGGAUGACGUCAAAUCAUCAUGCCCCUUAUGAUUUGGGCUACACACGUGCUACAAUGGACAAUACAAAGGGCAGCGAAACCGCGAGGUCAAGCAAAUCCCAUAAAGUUGUUCUCAGUUCGGAUUGUAGUCUGCAACUCGACUACAUGAAGCUGGAAUCGCUAGUAAUCGUAGAUCAGCAUGCUACGGUGAAUACGUUCCCGGGUCUUGUACACACCGCCCGUCACACCACGAGAGUUUGUAACACCCGAAGCCGGUGGAGUAACCUUUUAGGAGCUAGCCGUCGAAGGUGGGACAAAUGAUUGGGGUGAAGUCGUAACAAGGUAGCCGUAUCGGAAGGUGCGGCUGGAUCACCUCCUUUCUAAGGA
rnacentral:rRNA from 3 species